UGAAGUGGAGCUUGCUCCACGGAUUAGUGGCGAACGGGUGAGGAACACGUGAGAAACCUGCCUCGGACUUUGGGAUAACAAAUGGAAACGUUUGCUAAUACCAAAUAACGUCGGAGAAUCACAUGAUUUUCUGACGAAAGGAAUUCCGGUUCGAGAGGGUCUCGCGGCCUAUCAGCUAGUUGGCGGGGUAAUGGCCCACCAAGGCAACGACGGGUAGCUGGUCUGAGAGGAUGGUCAGCCACACUGGGACUGAGACACGGCCCAGACUCCUACGGGAGGCAGCAGUGGGGAAUCUUGCGCAAUGGGCGAAAGCCUGACGCAGCAACGCCGCGUGCGGGAAGAAGGCUUUCGGGCUGUAAACCGCUUUCAGCAGGAACGAAAAUGACGGUACCUGCAGAAGAAGGAGCGGCCAACUAUGUGCCAGCAGCCGCGGUGAUACAUAGGCUUCAAGCGUUGUCCGGAUUUAUU
rnacentral:rRNA from 1 species